rnacentral:rRNA from 1 species
GACGAACGCUGGCGGCGUGCUUAACACAUGCAAGUCGAACGCUGAAGCUCAGCUUUUGUUGGGUGGAUGAGUGGCGAACGGGUGAGUAACACGUGAGUAACCUGCCCCCUUCUUUGGGAUAACGCCCGGAAACGGGCGCUAAUACUGGAUAUUCACUGGUCUUCGCAUGGGGGUUGGUGGAAAGGGUUUUUCUGGUGGGGGAUGGGCUCGCGGCCUAUCAGCUUGUUGGUGGGGUGAUGGCCUACCAAGGCUUUGACGGGUAGCCGGCCUGAGAGGGUGACCUGUAACAGUGGGACUGAGAUAAGGCCCAGACGCGUACGGGAGGCAGAAGUGUGGAAUAUUGCACAAUGGGCGCAAGCCUGAUGCAGCGACGCCGCGUGAGGGAUGGAGGCCUUCGGGUUGUGAAACUCUUUCGCUAAUGGUCAAGCCGCAACAAUGGUUGUGGUGAGGGUAGUGGGUAAAGAAGCGCCGGCUAACUACGUG